rnacentral:rRNA from 1 species
CCUACGGGAGGCAGCAGUGGGGGAUAUUGCACAAUGGGGGCAACCCUGAUGCAGCGACGCCGCGUGAGGGAAGAAGUAUUUCUGUAUGUAAAGCUCUAUCUGCAGGGGAGAAAAUGACAGUACCUGACCAGGAAGCCCCGGCUAACUACGUGCCAGCAGCCGCGGUAAUACGUAGGGGGCAAGCGUUAUCCGGAUUUACUGGGUGUAAAGGGAGCGUAGACGGUUAUGUAAGUCUGGAGUGAAAGCCCGGGGCCCAACCCCGGGACUGCUUUGGAAACUGUGGAACUGGAGUAUAGGAGGGGUAGGCGGAAUUCAUGGUGUAGCGGUGAAAUGCAUAGAUAUCAGGAGGAACACCGGCGGCGAAGGCGGCCUGCUGAACUGCAACUGACGUUGAGGCUCGAAAGCGUGGGGAGCAAACAGGAUUAGAUACCCGUGUAGUC